GGAGUGGCCGGCCUAUGAGGCCUCCAUCAUCAAGAUAGCAGUUAACAUCAGGACCGUAUGUAGUUGUGACGUACUACAAACAUUAGCAUUUUUCUUAGCAUUAUUCUACCUCCUCAGAAAGGGAAAGAACUUUACAAAUAAAACUUAAGGAAAUUGAAGAACAGCUACCCGAGUCAGACACUCUGAAGAGAAAGAGUAAACCUUCAAUGAAACUCCUAGAGGCCGCAGAGAUGAGAGAGGAACCAGCAGCUAAGAAAAAGGUACACCUCACAGACCUACCAAAUGAUCUAAAGGUGUGGAAUGAAAGAAAAAUGGAACAUCUACAGCGUGUGAUAAAUCAGCUGAGAGAAAAGAACAUGAAUCUAAAUAAAGAGAAUGAGAGGCUGAAAAAUGAAAUACUUGAAAAAAUCCCAUCUCUCCUUCUGGCUAGAGCACUUACUCCAGGAGGUUAGAAUUGUUUACAUAAUAUAAAGCACAGUUACUAAUGACAAUGUUCCACAUUUCCUUGCCUUUUUAAACUUAAGACCUUUAGAGUUUUUUGGUUGCUCAGUAGUAAUAUUUCUGCCUAUUUAUUUCAACCCAUGAAAUCAAAUGCAGAUGUUCCUGAAGUAAGAUUUAAAUCUAAUUUAUUAAUUUGUUUGUCAUUAUCAUUAUUAUUGUUGUUGUUGUUUUUGGUACAGUUUACAGUAGCUGUUGCAGAUGUUCAUGAUGUACAUUUUACAUGUUGUUCAUAUCUAUGAACAUAUGAUAUAGAUAAAAAACAAAUAAACUUGUGCAUUGUACUUAGGGCCACGAUCACGAACGGAUGGGGGGGAGGGGCUUAUACUAACUUGCACUGGGUCGUCCCUGAUUGUUCUUGUACAUUGCAUCUGAACAAGGAAUAGUCUGCUAUGUAAAUAUUUUUCUGAUGUACAGUAUUAAGUGACUUGUUUCUAAUAUAUGAAUUUCUCUCGUACAGAUGUCCAAGACUCCGCUGCUUUUUAUGUAAUGUCUGUGCCACAUGCUAUUAUGUCACAUACUAAGCAUAACUAUUAAAAUAAUGACUGUUUUCUUGAGAUCAUUAGAUAAACUUAUUUGUAACAACAAUUGUCCAGUACUAUUGCUAACAUAUAUCCAUUUACUGUAUUAAUUUUAGCUUUUGGAAUCAAAUGCAGAUUUCCUUGAUCAUAACAGCAAGAUAUUUUCUGAUGGAGAUAUGGUGCCGAAGGCUCCAUCCAAGGCUUUUCUGUCUGGUUCUGCCAAAUGUUCCAGUGAUGCUAAUUAUGUUUAGUUAGCACAUGGCACAGGCAUAAAACUUCUAAAGCAUCAAUGGACUUCUGCCCUGCAGACCCAAACAGCCACUUCAAUGAUGCGUGUUCUUUUAAUCGCCGCCUUCCCACUGGAGGUUCUUCUGAUCCACAGCAAUCUGAAAGGAGGAAUGAGUAAAACUGACUGUGGUGCCGAGAGAAGGAGUGCCCUUGAUAAGGACACCAUGGCAGCCAUAUAUGUGGCAGUGAAGAAGAGGUUUCCCAAUGUGUCCAGAGGAGCUUUGGGGAUUGCAGUGAAUUCUAAGAUGGGGGAACUGAGACUGCUUUUUUGAAAUUUAAAGACGUGUGCUGAUCUCCACAAGAUUUCAACAGAAAACGGAGAGAAACCCGGCGUGCAGCAUGAGGCCGAUUCCACAUGUGUACUUCCGCCCUAGACAGCUCACUCUUUUCAGCACGAGCAGUGAAUAUGGUGAACCCUGAUUGGAUUAGAAUCUUGAUGGACGUGACACUCAUUCUUUUCUUGUCUUUUUUUCUUUUUUUUUCAUUU